rnacentral:rRNA from 1 species
CACCGCGGUUAUACGAGAGGCCCAAGUUGAUAGACUCCGGCGUAAAGAGUGGUUAAGAUACAUUUAUUAAAACUAAAGCCGAACGCCUUCAGGGCUGUUAUACGCUCCCGAAGAUAAGAAGUUCAACCACGAAAGUGGCUUUAUACCCACUGAACCCACGAAAGCUAUGACA